rnacentral:rRNA from 1 species
UACGUAGGGUGCAAGCGUUAAUCGGAAUUACUGGGCGUAAAGCGUGCGCAGGCGGUUUUGUAAGUCUGUUGUGAAAUCCCCGGGCUCAACCUGGGAAUGGCAAUGGAGACUACAAGGCUAGAGUUUGGCAGAGGGGGGUAGAAUUCCACGUGUAGCAGUGAAAUGCGUAGAUAUGUGGAGGAACACCGAUGGCGAAGGCAGCCCCCUGGGUCAAAACUGACGCUCAUGCACGAAAGCGUGGGGAGCAAACAGG